ACCAGGCCUCAGUCACGUCAGCUCCGUGACAUCGAAGCGACCGCGACACCGCAGCAAACCGGCGAUGACGGAUGCCUUUUUGUCUUCUGCAGUCAGGCCACGUCGUCUAGCCUGCGGACGGCUGUAAUCGCACCGACAGGUGACACAUCUGUGGAAACCAGAAGAUGAUGGGGAAGACUACUUGGAUCAUGUGACCUGCACCUCACAUGCCUCCUCCAAGUACAGUGUUAAAAGAAGAUAUUCUGGCACAUUGACAUAAAGAACAGCACGCAAACAAGACUCCAGUCAAGAUCUUACGCCAGAUUUGUUCCCAUUCACCCAGAAUGGUGAUGAGCUCCGACUCCCAGUUCCUCCUAGAGAGCUCCUGUCACUUCCCUCUCCUCCCAGAGUUCAAGGUCGCCAUGUGGCUAUUUCCGGCUCGUCUUCGCUUUGAUCCGUGUCGCAAAAUGACAAGAUUUGCUGGUUCGGUGGGAAGAGUGCAGAGCAGUCACAAGGCAUGCUGGGAUACGAGUCCUGUACACUGUGUGAACCUCCAGCUAC